rnacentral:tRNA from 1 species
GUGGAUGUGGCUCAAUGGGUGAGAGCACUUGUGUUGCAAGCAUGAGCACCUGAGUUCAAAUCCCCUGCACNCAUA